rnacentral:rRNA from 1 species
UUAACCUACCCUUGACAUGUCUGGAAUGCCGAAGAGAUUUGGCAGUGCUCGCAAGAGAACCGGAACACAGGUGCUGCAUGGCUGUCGUCAGCUCGUGUCGUGAGAUGUUGGGUUAAGUCCCGCAACGAGCGCAACCCUUGUCAUUAGUUGCUACGAAAGGGCACUCUAAUGAGACUGCCGGUGACAAACCGGAGGAAGGUGGGGAUGACGUCAAGUCCUCAUGGCCCUUAUGGGUAGGGCUUCACACGUCAUACAAUGGUCGGGACAGAGGGCUGCCAACCCGCAAGGGGGAGCCAAUCCCAGAAACCCGAUCGUAGUCCGGAUCGCAGUCUGCAACUCGACUGCGUGAAGUCGGAAUCGCUAGUAAUCGCGGAUCAGCAUGUCGCGGUGAAUACGUUCCCGGGUCUUGUACACACCGCCCGUCACACCAUGGGAGUGGGUUUUACCAGAAGUAGUUAGCCUAACCGCAAGGGGGGCGAUUACCACGGUAGGAUUCAUGACUGGGGUGAAGUCGUAACAAGGUAAGCGUAGCGAG